rnacentral:rRNA from 1 species
UAACCAGACUCCUACGGGAGGCAGCAGUCGGGAAUAUUGCGCAAUGGAGGAAACUCUGACGCAGUGACGCCGCGUGCAGGAAGAAGGUUUUCGGAUUGUAAACUGCUUUAGACAGGGAAGAGACAAGACAGUACCUGUAGAAUAAGCUCCGGCUAACUACGUGCCAGCAGCCGCGGUAAUACGGAAGGUCCGGGCGUUAUCCGGAUUUAUUGGGUUUAAAGGGAGCGUAGGCCGGUCUUUAAGCGUGCCGUGAAAUUUUGUGGCUCAACCAUGAGAGUGCGGCGCGAACUGGAGACCUUGAGUGCGCGGAAGGCAGGCGGAAUUCGUGGUGUAGCGGUGAAAUGCUUAGAUAUCACGAAGACCCCCGAUUGCGAAGGCAGCCUGCCGCAGCGUUACUGACGCUGAAGCGCGAAAGCGCGGGUAUCGAACAGGAUUAGAUACCCGCGUAGC